ensembl:snRNA Gm25186 U6 spliceosomal RNA
AUGCUAGUUUCAGCAGCACAUAUACUAAAAUUGGAACAACACAGAGCAGAUUAUCAUGGCCCCCUGCACAAGAAUGACAUGCAAAUUCGUGAAGUGUUCCAUAUUUUU